GCUUAUCACCAUUCCAGAUUGAAUAUACCCGAUCUCGUCUGAUCUCGGAAGUCAAGCAAU
rfam:Ciona savignyi cont_51476, whole genome shotgun sequence.